rnacentral:ncRNA from 1 species
UCACGGGGACGACCCCGUUGGCCAUCGAAAACUGCGGGACGGCCCGC